UAGCACAACCUAGCUGAAAUGAAUGUGCA
rnacentral:piRNA from 1 species